rnacentral:lncRNA from 1 species
AACCUCGUUAAAACUCUUGUGUUCUUUCUUGUCCUAUUUUUCUUUCAAUAUUUGAGGGUAUAAUAGUACUAUUUAAUUGUGCUAUUAAAUUACUAUAAAAGGGAUAUUCUGACUAAGGAAAGACUUGGUAUUUAAGAGAUCCUUGUGAUCCACCUCUCUUCUCUGGAAAUUGAACUUUGUGUGAUUUUUUAGUACAAUAAUUUACACGCUUCCGACCCUAUUGGAACAACAAGUGGUAUCAGAGCCGAAGGUUAAUCGUAGUAUGCUCUGUGGUUGCAGUUUGAACUGAUCUUCCACAUCAUAAAAGAUUUCCUUAGGUAUAUUGAAAGAUUAUGGAGAAAACGGUCGGUGUAGGAGCUUCAACAUCGUCCAUGUGGACAAGACCGACAAUUGCAAAUGCAAGACUGGCCGUGGAGAUCUUUGAUGGCACGGGCCAUUUUGGUAUGUGGCAAAAUGAGGUUCUAAAUGCCCUUUUUCAGCAGGGUCUAGACAUUGCCAUUGAUGAAGAGAAACUAGAUGAUGUACAGGGUACAGGAGAAAGAUUGGAAAGCGAUCAAUCGGUUGGCAUGUGGCACAAUUCGAUCAUGCCUUUCUUGAGAGCAGAGGUAUGCUUUUUCAAAGGAGACUUUUGCAAAUAAGUUGUGGGUGGCACUUGAAGAAAAUUUUUUGAAGAAAAACAGUCAAAAUAAGCUCCACUUGAAGAAAAGACGUUUCGCUUCACAUACGUCCCAAGUACCACAAUGAAUGAUCACAUCACCAAAUUUAAUCAGUUAGUCAUUGAUUUGCUGAAUAUGGAUGAGACAUUCAAAGAUGAAGAUUUGGCUUUGAUGCUGUUGGGGUCACUUCCUGAGGAGUUUGAGUUCCUAGAAACUACUCUACUUCAUGGCAGGAGUGAUAUAUCUCUGAGCGAAGUCUGUGCGGCCUUAUACAGUUAUGAACAGAGAAAGAAGGACAAACAGAAAAACUCAAUCAGAGAUACAGAAGCUUUAGUAGUCCGAGGUCGUUCAUACACUCAGAAGAAAACUCAAAAGGGGAGAUCAAAGUCAAAGUCCAGACUCGGGAAAGAUGAAUGUGCCUUUUGUCAUGAGAAAGGCCACUGGAAGAAAAAUUGUCCAAAGCUGAAGAAUAAGGGAAAAGCUACUGUAGAUGCUUGUGUUGCAAAGCAUGAUACUAGUGACUCUGAACUAUCACUGGUUGCAUCAUCAUCGUCGUUCUAUUCAGAUGAGUGGAUAUUGGAUUCGGGUUGUACCUUUCAUAUGUCCCCUAACUGGGAGUGGUUCUCUGAUUUUGUAGAACUAAAUGGAGGAGUUGUUUAUAUGGGCAAUGACAAUGCCUGUAAAACUGUUGGGAUAGGUUCAAUCCAAUUAAAGAAUCAAGAUGGAUCAACCAGAGUUCUGACUGAUGUUCGGUACGUGCCCAGUUUGAAGAAAAAUCUCAUCUCAUUGGGAGCCUUGGAAUCCAAUGGUUCAGUUGUUACUAUGAGAGAUGGGGUUUUGAAAGUGACAUCUGGCGCACGUGUGAUAUUGAAGGGCAUCAGGAAAAAUAACUUGUAUUACUACCAAGGUAGUACAGUUAUUGGAGCAGUCGCUGCAGCUUCCGGCAACAAAGAAUUGGACUCAAUACAGUUGUGGCAUAUGAAGUUGGGACAUGCCAACGAAAAAUCCUUGCAAUUUCUGGCAAAGCAAGGAUUGUUGAAAGGUGCAAAGGCUUACAAAUUAAAAUUUUACGAGCAUUGUGUUCUGGGAAAGCAAAAGAGAGUGAAAUUCGGUACUGCUAUCCAUAAUACAAAAGGUAUUUUCGAAUAUGUUCACUCAGAUGUGUGGGGGCCUUCCAAGACACCUUCAUUGGGAGGAAAACACUACUUUGUUACUUUUUUUGAUGACUUUUCCAGAAGAGUUUGGGUGUAUACCAUGAGAACUAAGGAUGAAGUGCUUAGAGUUUUUCUUAAAUGGAAAACUAUGAUCGAAAACCAGACUGGCAAGAAAAUCAAGCGGCUUAGGACGAACAAUGGAGGGGAAUAUAAAAGUGAUCCGUUCUUCGAUGUGUGCCAAGAGUAUGGUAUUGUUCGACACUUCACAGUUAGGGAUACACCACAGCAGAAUGGAGUGGCAGAGCGUAUGAAUCGAACAUUACAGGAGAAAGUUCGAUGUAUGUUGUCCAAUGCUGGGUUGGGCAAGCAAUUUUGGGCUGAGGCUGUGACAUACGCUGGCCAUCUUGUUAAUCGUUUGCCAUCAUCUGCAUUAGAAAGAAAAACUCCUAUGGAGGUAUGGUCUGGAAAACCGGUUACAGAUUAUGAUUCCUUACAUGUGUUUGGAACCACUGCAUAUUACCAUGUAAAGGAGUCAAAGUUAGAUCCGAGGGCAAAGAAAGCUCUCUUUAUGGGAAUCACUUCUGGAGUGAAGGGAUUUCGUCUUUGGUGCUUAAGCACAAAGAAAAUGAUCUGUAGCAGAGAUGUUACCUUUGAUGAAUCUGCCACAUUGAAAAAGGUAGCAGAUAAAGAUAUUCAGACGAGCAAUACUCCACAGCAGGUGGAGUGUACUCCAAAACAGGUGGAGUUUGAGCAGAUGGGGAUUUGCCCAGUUAAUAAGUCUAAUUCUCCAGCCACAAUGGAGGAAUUAGAGGUUGAAGAGGUUCUGACCCAAGAACCACUAAGUACACCAAAACCAGUUGCAGUUGCAAGGCUACGGAGAGAAAUUCGUAAACCUGCUCGAUUUACUGAUAUGGUGGCCUACGCCCUUCCCGUUGUUGAUGAUAUUCCUAUCACUUAUCAAGAAGCAAUGCAAAGCUUAGAAAGUGAUAAAUGGAAAAGCGCCAUGGAUGAAGAAAUGCAGUCUCUCCGGAAGAACAAUACUUGGGAGUUGGCGCAAUUACCGAAAGGUAAAAGGGCAAUCGGAUGCAAGUGGGUAUUCGCAAAGAAAGAUGGAUCUCCUAGCAAGAAGGAUAUUCGCUACAAGGCAAGAUUGGUAGCUAAAGGCUAUGCUCAGAAGGAGGGAAUUGACUACAAUGAUGUAUUUUCCCCUGUUGUGAAGCAUUCCUCCAUUAGAAUUUUGUUGGCCUUGGUAGCACAGUUGAAUUUGGAGCUAGCUCAACUUGAUGUUAAGACGGCUUUCUUGCAUGGUGAGUUAGAAGAGGAGAUCUAUAUGACUCAGCCCGAAGGAUACACAAAUGCUGGUGGUAGAAAUUGAGUUUGUAAGCUUAACAAAUCGUUAUAUGGAUUGAAGCAAUCCCCGAGGCAGUGGUACAAGCGAUUUGAUAGCUUUAUGAGAAGGCAGAAGUACACAAGAAGCAAAUAUGACAAUUGUGUAUAUUUGCAGAAGCUGCAUGACGGAUCUUUGAUUUAUCUACUCUUGUAUGUUGAUGAUAUGUUAAUCGCUUCGAAGAGCCAAAAUGAGAUAGAUAAGCUGAAGGCUCAGUUGAAUCAAGAGUUCGAGAUGAAAGAUCUAAGUGAGGCCAAGAAGAUUCUCUGCAUGGAGAUAAGUAGAGAUAGACAGAGAGGCAAGCUUUGUUUGAAUCAGAAGCAAUAUCUGAAAAAGGUAUUACAAUGUUUUGGUGUAAAUGAAAACACAAAACAUGUAAGUACCCCACUUGCUUCUCAUUUGAAACUUAGUGCUCAAUUAUCUCCGAAGACUGAAGAUGAAAGAGAAUAUAUGGCGAAAGUCCCAUAUGCUAAUGCAGUUGGGAGUUUGAUGUAUGCGAUGGUGUGUACGAGGCCUGACAUUUCACAAGCUGUUGGAGUUGUGAGCAGGUAUAUGCAUGAUCCUGGAAAAGGACAUUGGCAAGCUGUGAAAUGGAUUCUACGGUAUCUUCGAAAAACCAUAGAUGUUGGUUUAAUUUUUGAACAGGAUGAAGCACUUGGUCAGUUUGUAGUUGGAUAUGUUGAUUCCGACUUUGCUGGUGAUUUAGAUAAAUGUCGUUCAACUACGGGGUAUCUGUUUACUCUUGCGAAAGCCCCAGUGAGUUGGAAGUCUACCUUACAGUCUACAGUAGCUGUGUCUACUACAGAGGCAGAAUAUAUGGCAGUUACAGAAGCUGUUAAGGAGGCUAUUUGGCUUAAUGGAUUGUUGAAAGACUUAGGAGUUGUUCAAAGUCACAUAAGUUUAUAUUGUGACAGUCAGAGCGCUAUUCAUUUAGCGAAAAAUCAAGUCUAUCAUUCAAGAACCAAGCAUAUCGACGUAAGAUAUCACUUUGUGCGGGAAGUCUUUGAAAAAGGAAAAAUUCUACUUCAGAAGAUUCCGACAGCAGAUAAUCCCGCAGAUAUGAUGACCAAGGUGGUAACAACAAUCAAGUUUAAUCAUUGUUUGAACUUGAUUAACAUCCUGAGAAUUUGAGCACCUUCAGGUGUAUGGCGCUCGAGAGCGCAUUUGUAGGCACUACAAAAGAUAGCUUUAUCGAAUUUGGGGAGUUGAAGAAAGUGUGUGAAGAUGUGAUUAUCCUAAUCAAAUCUUCAAGGUGGAGAUUGUUAACAUUAAUGGAAGACAAUUAAUAAUGGUUGCCAUUAACAUUAAUGGGAGACAAUCAAUAAUGACAACCACCAACUUUGGAAAAGUGGCAAGGGAUAAUUUUUUUUUGGUCCUUGAGAUAAUGGGCUAUUUAUUGUUUGGUCCUUGAACCUCAACUAUAAAUAGGCCUUCUCAUUUCUCAUUUCAAUUCAUCCCAACCAAUCUUUCUCUCUUAGUUUUCUCUCUUCUCCCAUUUGAGAAUUCUUAAGGAAUUCUAUUUGUUUGUAAUAUUUUGGAGAUAGUAAAGUUAUCAUCUAGUGUUAGUGCCUGAGGACGUAGGUAUAAUUUACCGAACCUCGUUAAAACUCUUGUGUUCUUUCUUGUCCUAUUUUUCUUUCAAUAUUUGAGGGUAUAAUAGUACUAUUUAAUUGUGCUAUUAAAUUACUAUAAAAGGGAUAUUCUGACUAAGGAAAGACUUGGUAUUUAAGAGAUCCUUGUGAUCCACCUCUCUUCUCUGGGAAUUGAACUUUGUGUGAUUUUUUAGUACAAUAAUUUACACGCUUCCGACCCUAUUGGAACAACAGAGUAGGGUAGGCAACCACUUCAACCAUUAUUGCAAGUGAAGUUAGAACAAAAAUAUCCGUUGAAUUAUCAUCUUUGUUCAUUCUACGUGUAAUCAUGGCUCUAAUGACGUUUAAAGGACAUUAUUAUUGCUAUAAUUUUAUUUUUUAAUGAUUUAAAUUUAAGAAAAAUAAAAUUAGAAAAUUAUUUAUAUAGAAUAAAGAGUCGACAAGAAGAUUGAAACCUGGCAUGAAUAAGAAGAAUAAGAGUUCAACAAAGUGGUUCAACAUAGUUUUCAUGCAUUAAUGAUAUGGCAAAAAG